rnacentral:rRNA from 1 species
UACGUAGGGUGCGAGCGUUAAUCGGAAUUACUGGGCGUAAAGCGUGCGCAGGCGGUUUUGUAAGACAGGUGUGAAAUCCCCGGGCUCAACCUGGGAAUUGCAUUUGUGACUGCAAAGCUUGAGUGCGGCAGAGGGGGAUGGAAUUCCGCGUGUAGCAGUGAAAUGCGUAGAUAUGCGGAGGAACACCGAUGGCGAAGGCAAUCCCCUGGGCCUGCACUGACGCUCAUGCACGAAAGCGUGGGGAGCAAACAGG